UUCUCGCUCAAACUCUCUUGGCUCUGUCUCUCUCUUUAGCCUAGCUCUCUCUCUCUCCGACAUAGUCAUCUUCCUCCCUCAGCCAUCCAAGCUUAACUCCACAGUUCACAUCCACGAGGUGUUACUGCGAAUGCUUACAAGGUUGCUGAUUCUCCUUCUAAGAGGUGGAUUUCUUUUGUGCCCAAAAGAUUGUGACUUUGUUGAAAGUUCGUAAAUGGAAAAGGCAGCUGCCCCCUGCGGCUUGGAAUGCUCAAUUCGGAGGGUCUGAAGAACAACCAUGUAGUAAGAAAGUUGGAGAAACGUCAACAGAUUUGCACCCUUGACCAACAUAUUGAAGAGUAAUUUGGUGGUGGUCGUCUAUUGGCUUGUAUCUCAUCACGACCUAGAUAGUGGCUGUGCUGAUGGGUAUGUGACUUUAUUUGCCUAUGUCUGUUUCUAGUCAGCCGAUAUGUCAUUGGCAUAUUAGUGUAGUUACCAUAUUGCAAGGGCUGA